CCUACGGGUGGCUGCAGUGGGGAAUAUUGCACAAUGGGCGCAAGCCUGAUGCAGCAACGCCGCGUGAAGGAUGAAGGCCUUCGGGUUGUAAACUUCUGUCCUAGGGGAAGAAACAAAUGACAUUACCCUUGGAGGAAGCCCCGGCUAACUACGUGCCAGCAGCCGCGGUAAUACGUAGGGGGCGAGCGUUAUCCGGAAUUAUUGGGCGUAAAGCGCGCGCAGGUGGUUUAAUAAGUCUGAUGUGAAAGCCCACGGCUCAACCGUGGAGGGUCAUUGGAAACUGUUAAACUUGAGUGCAGGAGAGAAAAGUGGAAUUCCUAGUGUAGCGGUGAAAUGCGUAGAGAUUAGGAGGAACACCAGUGGCGAAGGCGGCUUUUUGGCCUGUAACUGACACUGAGGCGCGAAAGCGUGGGGAGCAAACAGGAUUAGAUACCCUAGUA
rnacentral:rRNA from 1 species